rnacentral:rRNA from 1 species
CCUACGGGUGGCUGCAGUGGGGAAUAUUGGACAAUGGGCGAAAGCCUGAUCCAGCCAUGCCGCGUGUGUGAAGAAGGCCUUCGGGUUGUAAAGCACUUUCAGUGGGGAAGAAAGCCUUGGGGUUAAUACCCUCGAGGAAGGACAUCACCCACAGAAGAAGCACCGGCUAACUCCGUGCCAGCAGCCGCGGUAAUACGGAGGGUGCGAGCGUUAAUCGGAAUUACUGGGCGUAAAGCGCGCGUAGGCGGUCUGAUAAGCCGGUUGUGAAAGCCCCGGGCUCAACCUGGGAACGGCAUCCGGAACUGUCAAGCUAGAGUGCAGGAGAGGAAGGUAGAAUUCCCGGUGUAGCGGUGAAAUGCGUAGAGAUCGGGAGGAAUACCAGUGGCGAAGGCGGCCUUCUGGACUGACACUGACGCUGAGGUGCGAAAGCGUGGGUAGCAAACAGGAUUAGAUACCCGUGUAGUC